UUCAGGUGAUUCUGCCAGGCAGCCAAGAUUGAGAAUCACUGUGUUAGCAGGCACCAAGACAAGCAUAUGAUCCAGUCAAUUUUUUUGCUCUUAGAAAGUUAGGACUAUUUGAAAAUAAUUAACAAUCUCUAAUUAUUGACAUAAAAUAAAUUUAAGUCAAUAUAGGGCAAGAUUUAAAAGAAUGAAGGCAUCUAAAUAAAUGCUGAAUACAUUUUACCACUAAAUUUCACUGUAUUGCUGCUUAACUUGACUUCGAUUUCCUACUCCCUACUAUUUAGAAUCUUUUCAGCUUUGGGGAAGUCAUAAAACUAACCAACAAACCAUAGAGCUCCUGUCUGUGUUUGCUUCCUGAUGAACAGGUAUGGCAAAGAUUCAAAGCCUAUAGUAGGAUGCAAUCCCACUGCCGGUGCUGCAAAUUGUUGGUGUCUUCCUCAAGCCAGUGCGUCAUGAUUAAACCAUAGAGAUUGUCUGCCUUGGUUUGAAUCACAACUCUGGCUCUCUGAUAUAGGAUCACUUAAUGGCCUUGUGAACCUAGAGAACAAGGAACAUGAGGCUACAUUGCUACAGGCAGCCAUCUUUGAGUUGAGAAGGAAGCCAGCCUUAAAGCUCAGCUGGCAGAAGAAGGAAAAGCAGCAGGAAUUACAGAAACGUGGAGUCAUGUCCUGAUCAUACUUGAAGCUCACUCCCCCGCUUUCUGCAUUUUCAACUGUGUGCUAUGAUAUAAUUUCCUUCCCUGAUGGUCCCAGUGCUGCCCCAUUCCUCACUUUAUGCCACUCAAUCAAGACUAUUCCUUAUGUGAAGAUCAAAUGGAUUUUCGUUUUUAAAGAAAAACCGUUCAGAUGGUUAAAACCAUGCUGAAUUUUAGCUUCAUAAUCAUCAGAUUCAUAGUUUACUUCUACAGAAUUUUCCUCCCCUGGAGUUUCUGAUUGCUUUGCCUUUCCACUCAUGAGAUAAAACAUAGACUUUUCCCAUCUUAUUCCUAAUAAUGCAAUUUCUGGUUUAUUUUGUAUUUUUGUAAAAUCCUUUUCUUCUUCCUGAAGAUAUUUUAGUUGCAGCCUACUGACUUACUGAUCUAAUGCCCUGGUCAACUUGCCAAAUAUUCAAAUUAUUGAAUAGCCAAUAUUCAGGGAAUUUUGUUCCUUUUCUGAAGGCUUAAUUGUCAGGCCUCUGAGCCCAGGCCAGGCCUUCGCAUCUCUGUGACUUGCAUGUAUACAUCCAGAUGGCCUAAAGUAACUGAAGAUCCACAAAAGAAGUAAAAACAGCCUUAACUGAUGACAUUCCACCAUUGUGAUU
rnacentral:lncRNA from 10 species